rnacentral:rRNA from 1 species
AACUUUCAGCAACGGAUCUCUUGGCUCUCGCAUCGAUGAAGAACGCAGCGAAAUGCGAUAAGUAAUGUGAAUUGCAGAAUUCAGUGAAUCAUCGAAUCUUUGAACGCACCUUGCGCCCUCUGGCUAUUCCGAAGGGCAUGCCUGUUUGAGUAUCA